rnacentral:rRNA from 1 species
AGUACAGUGGCGACCGGGUGAGUAACACGUGACUACCUACCCUUGAGUGGGGGAUAACCUCGGGAAACCGAGGCUAAUACCGCAUAAUACCGAGAGGUCAAAGGGGGCCGCAAGGCUCUCGCCAUGGGAGGAGUCCGCGUUCGAUUAGCUAGUUGGUAGGGUAAUGGCCUACCAAGGCGACGACCGAUAGCCGGCCUGAGAGGGUGAUCGGCCACACUGGAACUGAGACACGGUCCAG